GACGAACGCUGGCGGCGUGCUUAACACAUGCAAGUCGAACGGAAAGGCCCUGCUUUUGUGGGGUGCUCGAGUGGCGAACGGGUGAGUAACACGUGGGUAACCUGCCCUUGACUUUGGGAUAACUUCAGGAAACUGGGGCUAAUACCGGAUAGGAGCUCCUGCUGCAUGGUGGGGGUUGGAAAGUUUCGGCGGUUGGGGAUGGACUCGCGGCUUAUCAGCUUGUUGGUGGGGUAGUGGCUUACCAAGGCUUUGACGGGUAGCCGGCCUGAGAGGGUGACCGGCCACAUUGGGACUGAGAUACGGCCCAGACUCCUACGGGAGGCAGCAGUGGGGAAUAUUGCACAAUGGGCGGAAGCCUGAUGCAGCAACGUCGCGUGCGGGAUGACGGCCUUCGGGUUGUAAACCGCUUUCGCCUGUGACGAAGCGUGAGUGACGGUAAUGGGUAAAGAAGCACCGGCUAACUACGUG
rnacentral:rRNA from 1 species